GAGGGUCUCUCACGCUGUCACAAGAGCAGAAGUUUUGAUGUGAAGAGGGAGAAUGUGUCAAGCAAGAUCGAAUUGAUUGGAUCCUGGUGUCAAGAAGGAAAAGGAAAGGAAGGGGCAUCAUCCUCCCUGCACAAGCUCACAGACCUCUGUCCCCUGGCUGCUUCAUGACCUAAUUUCCUCCCCUCUGCCCUCAGCUCACUUCACUGCUAAUUCAGCAACCUCCUUGCUAGUCCCGGAAUGUGCCAGACACGUUCUCACCUAAAGGAUGCUUAUCCUUGGAACCCUUGGAACCCAGCUACCAUGCUGUGUGGAAGCCCAGGCCACAUGGAGAAUCCACAUAUCAUAUCCUUGCUGGAAGCCCCAUCUGAGGUCCCAGGUAGCCAGCAUCAACUGGCUAUCAGGAGAUCUUCAAGCUGACUCCAGCCCAGCCACCACCAGACUGCAGCCAUAUGAGAGACCUUGAGCAAGAAUGGCCUAGCUGAGUCCAAUCAAUGCUCCCUCCCCAAGAAACAAAAGAAAUGAAUAAUAAAUGAUUGUUGUGGCCAGGCCUGGUGGCUCAUGCCUGUAAUCCCAACACUUCGGGAGGCCAAGGCAGGUGGAUCGUGAGGUCAGGAGUUCAAGACCAGCCUGGCCAAGAUGGUGAAACCCCAUCCCUACUAAAAAUACAAAAAUGAACCAGGCACCAGUAAUCUCAGCUACUUGGGAGGCUGAGGCAGAGAAUCACUUAAACCCGGGAGGCGGAGGUUGCAGUGACCUGACAUUGCGCCACUGCACUCUAGCUUGGGUGACAGAGCGAGACUCCGUCUCAGAAAAUAAUAAAUAAAUAAAUAAAUAAAUAAAUAAUUGUUUUAUGCCAAUAAAUAUGGGUGGUUUGUUAUGCAGCAAAGAAUCACUGAGGCCAGGGCAGAGAAUUACCCACAAUCAGCCUCAGACCAUGAUGGGGAGGUGAUGCCAAUCUUUGUCCCUUUCUGGACCCUCUGCUUUUACCCCCAAGGUCCAGGAUCUCAGACCACAACUCCCCAUGAUGGGCUCCUUCAUAGCAAGUGAACACCGGCACAGCAAUCUCCCUAUAUGGGCAUGAGCUCUCCAGGCCCCAGGCUCUCAUCCACAGUUGACUCUGUGGUACUUUAGGCAGGUGCUCAUCCCUCAGUUUUCUCUUCUGUAAAAUGCACUGUCUGAUGAUCCCAGCCCUGCCCACUCACACAGAGGCUAUGAGGAGCCAUCCUUGAAGCUGAAGUUUAAGGGGUUAUUGUCAAUGUUUGCAUUUUAAGAUCCAGGUUGGCAACUAGAACCACACAAUGUCCUAAAAAGACAUUUCAGGACUAUCAUAUUCAGCAUUCUAUAUAUUAUAGAAGGGGAAACUGAAAUAUUAAUUGUGAACACAGUCCUGGCACUGAAUAAAUGCUUAUGAAUAUGAGGAGGUGCGAGAAGGGAGAAACAGGCAGCACUGGCCGAAGGAUCCAACUCUUAUUUCUUGAGAAGCCUCACUACUGCCCUCCUCCUUCUCUCUGCUCCUACGGUUCCCUGCCCAUCGCCCCUUCCCCUUUUGGGUUGCCCCUCUGCCCAGGCCUGGAAUGGGCACCUGGUGUGAACUCCUGAACUUGGGAUGCCAGCCCUGGCUGAUUUGCCUCCCUAAAGGCUCACUCCACCAUCCUCUCAAGAGCUGUUGCCUUAGAACACUUCCUCCAUGUGCUUACAAUAAAAGGCAUUUG
rnacentral:lncRNA from 10 species